AAGAAAAGAAUUAGGUUUUCUUUUUCCGAAAAUUUUCUCUCCUCUCCUCUCCCCGUGCGUCGGCGUUUUCUCUCGGGCGAAAUCCACAGCAAGAGCUGGGGCGUCUCCGGCGGCCGGCGAAGGAGUAUUUCUAUGAGGUCUUCACACCGUUGAGGUCCUCUCGUCGAGGAGGGUCCGUGAGCACAAGAAGAGCUCGAGUUAUCCGAACCCUAGAACGUUCCCUCUUCGGCUGUGAGUUCAAGAACGCAAGAUAAAGGAAGACGAGGAGGAGGUGCGGAUGGUGUGUGAUGUCAGGACUAUGGGAGAGACUUGGGAUGUUGUUGAGUUUUCCGCAUUUUAGUGAUUGUUAAAUAUUGAGAUUGUAUUUUGAGUUCCAUGUCGUUUGAGAUUGUUUUAGAUAGUAUGUUAAGAUGAAUUCAGUAUAGUAAGUAUGUAUUUUUGGUGUUUGACACUUAUUUAACUGCGUGGAUGUUUAAUAUA